ensembl:snRNA U2 U2 spliceosomal RNA
AUAAUUUCUCAGCCUUUUGGCUAAGAUCAAGUGUAGUAUCUGUUCUUAUCAGUUUAAUAAGUAGUAAUAAGAGUACUAGUAUAUUGGUAUAUUAAACCAAGUACAUUUU